UACAGAGGUCUCAAGCGUUGUUCGGAUUCAUUGGGCGUAAAGGGUGCGUAGGCGGCGCGGUAAGUCGGGUGUGAAAUCUCGGGGCUUAACUCCGAAACUGCAUUCGAUACUGCCGUGCUUGAGGACUGGAGAGGAGACUGGAAUUUACGGUGUAGCGGUGAAAUGCGUAGAUAUCGUAAGGAAGACCAGUGGCGAAGGCGGGUCUCUGGACAGUUCCUGACGUGAGGCACGAAGGCCAGGGGAGCAAACGGG
rnacentral:rRNA from 1 species